rnacentral:rRNA from 1 species
AGGACGAACGCUGGCGGCGUGCCUAACACAUGCAAGUCGAACGAGGUCCAACCGGUAGCAAUACCGGUGAAGACCAAGUGGCGAACGGGUGAGUAGCACGUGAGCAACCUGCCCCGAAGACCGGGACAACACCGGGAAACCGGUGCUAAUACCGGAUAUCCCCACCGAGUCGCAUGGCUUGGUGAGGAAAUGGAUUCCGCUUCGGGAGGGGCUCGCGGCCUAUCAGCUUGUUGGUGAGGUAACGGCUCACCAAGGCUUCGACGGGUAGCUGGUCUGAGAGGACGAUCAGCCACACUGGGACUGAGACACGGCCCAGACUCCUACGGGAGGCAGCAGUGGGGAAUCUUGCACAAUGGGCGAAAGCCUGAUGCAGCAACGCCGCGUGAGGGACGAAGGCUUUCUGAGUUGUAAACCUCUUUCAGCAGGGACGAUUGUGACGGUACCUGCAGAAGAAGCCCCGGCAACUACGUGCCAGCAGCCGCGGU